AACGAAUGGCAUGCAAGCUAACAAAAGAUCUAAGCACCAACCCAAUCAACAUCCAGAUUGAGUUGUGAAGCCACUCAAGAUUAAGUCUUCCACAAGUCGAUCAGAAAAAGACUUCAGUAAAAGUGACUAACUAAAGAAAGUCAACAAGUGCAAUAGCUGUCAAGAGAACAAAAGACAAUGAUCUUGGGAUUAACCAAGAUCAUAGUGUUUGCAAAACAAAGUAGGAACUAAUGCAGUUUACACACAGACACUGGCCAACCUUUAUAGAACAGAUAAAGAAGAUGAAGCAUGGGUCAGACCAUUGUUGAUAUGUGAACGGAGAUCAUAAGGAGAAAGAGACUGAG
rnacentral:lncRNA from 1 species